UACGUAGGUGGCAAGCGUUAUCCGGAUUUACUGGGUGUAAAGGGCGUGUAGGCGGGGACGCAAGUCAGAUGUGAAAACCACGGGCUCAACCUGUGGCCUGCAUUUGAAACUGUGUUUCUUGAGUGCAGAAGAGGAGAGUGGAACUCCAUGUGUAGCGGUGGAAUGCGUAGAUAUAUGGAAGAACACCAGUGGCGAAGGCGGCUCUCUGGUCUGUAGCUGACGCUGAGGCUCGAAAGCAUGGGUAGCGAACAGG
rnacentral:rRNA from 1 species